rnacentral:rRNA from 1 species
GUAAGGAAUAUUGGACAAUGGAGGCAACUCUGAUCCAGCCAUGCCGCGUGAAGGAAUAAGGCCCUAUGGGUUGUAAACUUCUUUUAGACGGGACAAAACCCCUUUACGUGUAAAGGGUUGAUGGUACUGUCAGAAUAAGCAUCGGCUAACUUCGUGCCAGCAGCCGCGGUAAUACGAAGGAUGCAAGCGUUAUCCGGAAUUAUUGGGUUUAAAGGGGGCGUAGGCGGACUAAUAAGUCAGUGGUGAAAGCCUGCAGCUUGACUGCAGAAUUGCCAUUGAUACUGUUAGUCUUGAGUACAGUUGAGGUAGGCGGAAUGUGUCAUGUAGCGGUGAAAUGCUUAGAUAUGACACAGAACACCGAUUGCGAAGGCAGCUUGCUAAGCUGUAACUGACGCUGAGGCACGAAAGCGUGGGGAGCAAACA